AUGAAAGGGAUGAUUAUUUCCCCAGAUGAUCGAAAAUGAACAAACUGAGCGAUCUUUUCUCUUCGGAGAAUCUAAGCCAGAAAUCUGAUUCGU
rnacentral:snoRNA from 1 species